rnacentral:rRNA from 1 species
UACGGGGGGGGCAAGCGUUGUUCGGAAUUACUGGGCGUAAAGGGCUCGUAGGCUGCCAACUAAGUCGGAUGUGAAAUCCCCAGGCUCAACUUGGGAACUGCAUCCGAUACUGGAUGGCUUGAAUUCGGGAGAGGGAUGCAGAAUUCCAGGUGUAGCGGUGAAAUGCGUAGAUAUCUGGAGGAAUACCGGUGGCGAAGGCGGCAUCCUGGACCGACAUUGACGCUGAGGAGCGAAAGCUAGGGGAGCAAACGGG